AGUGAACGCUGGCGGCAUGCUUUACACAUGCAAGUCGAACGGCAGCGCGGGCUUCGGCCUCUCUUCCAGGGGCGGACGGGCGGGUGAGUCAUCGGUACAUGCCCAGUAGUGUUGGAUAGGGCGGCAACAGCCGGAUUAUUACCGCAUACGACCUUACGGUCUAAGGGGGGGACCAAGAGGCCUCGCGCUAUUGGGCCGGCCGAUGUCGGAUUAGCUAGUUGGCGGGGUAAAGGCUUACCAAGGCGACGAUCCGUAGCUGGUCUGAGAGGAUGACCAGCCACACUGGGACUGAGACACGGCCCAGACUCCUACGGGAGGCAGCAGUGGGGAAUUUUGGACAAUGGGGGCAAGCCUGAUCCAGCCAUGCCGCGUGCGUGAAGAAGGCCUUCGGGUUGUAAAGCGCUUUUGUUGGGGAAGAAAAGCUCUGGGCUAAUACCCCGGGGGGAUGACGGUACCGGAAGAAUAAGCACCGGCUAACUACGUG
rnacentral:rRNA from 1 species